rnacentral:lncRNA from 1 species
GUUUUAAGAGGCUUUCCUGAGUUCCAGCUUCCCUACAGACGGGCUACAUUCACCUCUCUGAAUCCGUGAGUGCUCAUCCAGGAACAGACUAAGAACCUGAUCAAAAAACAGCUUGCUUUCUUGCCACAGACAGACACACAAAACUGUUUUGCCAGUUUUCCCAUUGGGAGAAAGGACCCAUUUAGGACAGUUGGAUACUGGCAUAACCCAAAGCGGCAGAAGAUCCUUCACAAUGUUUAAACAAGACAUGGACAAAAGACUUUUUAGUUAACUUUCAAAGACUGAUAUUACAAACCUGAUGUUAGAACUUCGGACUUUAAGCAGAAAAUAGAUAAGUUUUGAAGGGACCAGCUCCCCUUUCGGCAGCCAUAACAGCCGAACACGUGCUUGCCAUAAACUUGCCUUGUCACUUAGAGGUCAGAUGCCUGCCUUGUGACAAGGAACCAAUCGGAAGUUAGUCACUGCCUCGUGACAAGGAACCAAUCAGAAGUUAGUUGGUGGCGCUAUGCUUUACGACCCUGGGUGUGCUUUACAGACAAGCACACAGCAAUGACGCACAAAGCAUAGCAACCACCCUGGGAGGGCCUAUGGGCCAUAACAACCAGUUGGCCAAUCAACACAGGGCAAGCCCUCCAAGCCUGGAGGCACACCAAUCAUGAGCCUGUACGUACCCCUAGACACUCCCCUUACGCUGUCCUAUAAGAUCUCUUAGGAGGCCCUAGGAGCUGUCUUUUGCUAGCCAUCCGCCAUGGCAGGUGGGUGAAAGACCCGAGCUAACAUGGGGUUAGCUGGUUAAAUUACAAUAAAGCCUCAUGCAGUUUGCAGCAAGCUCUUGAAUCCGCCUGGUGAUUGGGGUGACCGCAGUCGUGGCCUGGGACCCUGGAUACCUGAGUUUUCCGGGGGUCUAACAGUUUCAAGGGGCAUUGAGUCCCAGAGACUGGUUCCAGCCAAAGAUGGGUACAGUUUUCCUUGCCUUCAGGGAAUCCUAAGACAGAACACGCAUGAUGGAAUGCGUGAUUCCAUGACGGGCACCCCUGGAAAUCAUGGCUUUAGUCUCCUUGAAAAUAAUUAUCUUAGGGCUGGAGAGCUGGCUCAGCGGUUAAGAGCACCAACUGCUCUUCCAGAGGUCCUGAGUUCAAUUCCCAGCAACCACAUGGUGGCUCACAACCAUCCCUUAUGAGAUCUGGUGCCCUCUUCUGAUGUGCAGGUAUACAUGGAAGCAGAAUGUUGUAUAAAUAAUAAAUAAAUAAAAAUAAUUAUCUUAAACAAAGAUGUUGACUAUCUGAUGGGGGGAUGGUCUUUUGAACAAAUGGU